rnacentral:rRNA from 1 species
GUUGACCUCGGAUCAGGUAGGAAUACCCGCUGAACUUAAGCAUAUCAAUAAGCGGAGGAAAAGAAACCAACAGGGAUUGCCCUAGUAACGGCGAGUGAAGCGGCAACAGCUCAAAUUUGAAAUCUGGCCCCAGGCCCGAGUUGUAAUUUGUAGAGGAUGCUUUUGGUGCGGUACUUUCCGAGUUCCCUGGAACGGGACGCCUUAGAGGGUGAGAGCCCCGUACGGUUGGAUACCUAGCCUCUGUAAAGCUCCUUCGACGAGUCGAGUAGUUUGGGAAUGCUGCUCAAAAUGGGAGGUAAAUUUCUUCUAAAGCUAAAUACCGGCCAGAGACCGAUAGCGCACAAGUAGAGUGAUCGAAAGAUGAAAAGCACUUUGAAAAGAGGGUUAAAUAGCACGUGAAAUUGUUGAAAGGGAAGGACUUAUGACCAGACUUUUUCUGGGCGGAUCAUCCGGUGUUCUCACCGGUGCACUUCGCCCAGUCAAGGCCAGCAUCGGUUUCCGUAGAGGGAUAAAAGCAGCAGGAAUGUGGCUCCCUCGGGAGUGUUAUAGCCUGUUGUAUAAUACCUUUAUGGGGACCGAGGUUCGCGCUUCGGCAAGGAUGCUGGCAUAAUGGUCAUCAGUCACCCGUCUUGAAACACGGACCAAGGAGUCGAACAUUUAUGCGAGUGUUUGGGUGUUAAACCCUCACGCGUAAUGAAAGUGAACGGAGGUGAGAGCCUUAGGGUGCAUCAUCGACCGAUCCUGAAGUCUUCGGAUGGAUUUGAGUAAGAGCAUAACUGUUCGGACCCGAAAGAUGGUGAACUAUGCGUGGAUAGGGUGAAGCCAGAGGAAACUCUGGUGGAGGCUCGCAGCGGUUCUGACGUGCAAAUCGAUCGUCAAAUCUGCGCAUGGGGGCGAAAGACUAAUCGAACCAUCUAGUAGCUGGUUACCGCCGAAG